UGUGCAGAUGCUGCAAACCUGAAAGGGGGAGAAGCAUUUCAUGGUCAUGAGGAUUGAAACAUACCUAGAGUUAUGCUGUGUCACUCAUGGCAAAACUUCUCCAGAAACAUCCAGAGCUUGUUUUUACUUUAUUUUAUUCAAUGUGUCACAGUCCAUUACUAACUGUUUUCUAACUGAUGAGUGCAGUUAUUUUUUAGUUUGUUGCUAAGAGAACGUUACUUUGUUCUUUCUAAAAGGAUUAAUACCUCAUGUUUACAGGGAAACAGACAAUUUAAAAGAACUUUCACACCUAUUACAUUUCUUUGUUUCUCCCAAUUACCUUUGCCUAAGAUACAAAUAUUUCCAUUUUAGAGAGAAGGAAUCUGGCUGUUGGGGAUUCCCUGCCUUGGCUGAGCCCACAGGGGCUGCAGUGGGCAGAACUACAGCUGGAACCCGUGUCCCUGACUCUUGCAUGCUUUCCUCCAAGCAAACAUUCAAUUCAAUAGAGGGCACUGAGAUUUACUGAGUGUGUACUAUGCUUCAGUAUUUUGCAACUCAUCCAUAUCAGUGAUGUUCACAGUAAACAUUGAGUUAAUAAUUGCAGAAGCAAUCGAUUACAGAAAGAGGCCAGAAAAGUUCAGGUUUAUAACCUUUUAGAACUUGGGUAAGCCUAGGUCUUGCUGAACUCUCCAUCUAGAACAAAGAGAAACAGUUCUUCAGCUGCUUGGCUCACAUAGCUCUGGACUCUAAGGAACUUUACUUCCUUAUCAGGGGGCAAAACACACUCCAGGGCUUUCUUUAGAGCCAUCAUUUUAUUCUCUGAGAGAUGGGUGUCUAUGUUCUGCUCCUCCUUCUCCUGCUGAGCUCCUGCCUGGUCCCUUCUGUUUCUAUAGAAUGAAGGAAUCCAGAUAAUUUAGACACAGAAAGGAUCUCAGUGACCCACUAAUCUAAGCCUUCCUUUCUUUUAGGAAUGGGGGUUCAGUGACGCAGUGAGGCGGUGUGUCCCCUGUGCAUCAGCAGAGGAGCUUGUCUUAGAACCCAGGUUCCCCAUCUCCCAGGUCAGGGGCUUCUCACACGGAGGAGCUUCCCCAUCGCGGCCCACCUGGCGGACAGGGAGGGCAUCUGCGGGAACCCGCCCCAGUCACAGGGCAACACAGACCUCGGCUUGGCUGGCAUUGUGGAUUAGAUUGAUUUCUUUCCAAGGAAACUUUAACUUUUAUAUAACACAAAGCUAAUGACUUCAGGACCAAAGCAUCAACUUGCCAUCACACUUAUGUUAAGAGGAAAACACUGUGGUGAAAACUCAAAAAAGAAUAAAGCCUGAUGAUAUUGUCAAGAGAUACUGCUGUCUUCCUGGGGAGAGAAGACUAAUAGCCAGAACACAUGAUUAGCAAUAUGGAGACAUCCUUCAAUAUUUGAACCUCAGUUAACAAACAGGAAGUAUUAAAGUGAAGAAACCUAGGUCCAAAGAAGGGCAGUGACAUUUCCAGCAAGACAGACCAAGUAUAAUAAGCAGGGAUGCAUUUAAUGUCAGUGGCAAUGAUCUUGCUAAAAUUCCCUCCAAUAGUCUGAGGUACUGAGCUCUUGAGUACUUGAGUGCCAAAGUUCUGAAUCCUCUCUCCAUGUAACCAAGCUGGAUCAAGCAGCACCUGCUCUAUUUCAUCGCAUCUGGUUUACCACAUCUUAUAUAUGAUUUAUGUUUUAAAAUAGAAGUCUCUGCUGGUUCUUGAAAUGGCAGAAAUAACUGAAAUCUAUUCACAGGGUUUUUGGAAUAAAGGUGUGAUGUAAUUAAAAAUGACUUUUCCUGGGAUAAUAAAUACAGUAAUAACUGUCAAAUGUUAAUAAUGCAAUUCAUUUUCUUAAUUUAAAAAUAUGGAAGAGCUUUCUUUGCAGAUGAAUACAAGCCAAAUAAGGGAUAGUAAAAUUAGAAAUAACAUCCUUUUAAAGCAAUUCAGGUAAGGAUCACCAAUUCAGGCUAGGAUCAUCAAUUAAUGGUACAUCUGUUGGGUGAACAGUUUGGAAACAGGAUAUUCACAAUGUCUUAAAGUACCAUGCCAGAGAUUGUUAUUAAUUACAUAAGAAAAACAGCACAUCUGAAAUGGAGAGAGCUGGCAGACGUCUCUUACUAAGGGAGGAACUUAGCAUCACCCAUAAUGGGAUAGCCUGAUAUUGUGUCCCCCACCUCCCUGAAGCGAUGCUAUAGGAGAAACACAUCACCUAUGUAGUUUAUUUGCCAAAAGCACAUAGCUGGGAUCUAAUCUCAUGAAAUAUAUCACCGAAAUCAGAUUGAGAAACAUUUUACACGUCAAUUUCCUGGACUCUUCAAAAAUGUCAAUGUACUGAAGGAAACAAACAUGCAAAGAAACAAAGAAAACAAAAGGGACAAGAUAAAAUACUAAAUAAAAUACAAUAAAUCAAUUUAUUUUUUAAAAUAU